rnacentral:lncRNA from 1 species
CCUUCAACCCUACCCAUAAAUCAAAACCAGAACAUUCACAUCCGCCGACUGGUCAACCGGCCAUAGCCACUUAUCUCACUGUAAAUCGCCACACCAUAAAUUACCACUGCCGCCGCCACCACCAAAUCAAAACCAUCACCAUCAUCAUCAAAUCCAGCUUUUCUAUUGUGGAAAAUUACAGCAAUUCCCGCAACGACCUAAUCUAAGAAAAACCAUUGGCCACCAAUCCGUCAGAAUUUCUUCCCUAGCCGAGGGGCUCAAUCCACAUACACAUCCCAUACAAAAAGAUCAAGAUGGAAUUGAAAAGCCAAAUGAGUCGCACGCAUGGUCACGCCUCACUGUCGGUAGUCUUGCCCACUCAAGGCAAGCAUAUUCAUGGUAGAACACCAUCAAAUCAAAAGAUCAAAAUGGGUUGGAUUAUUAGGACUUCAAAAUUUUUAAUGAAAGGUUAUGUUGUUAGGGAAUUCAAUGGAUGGUUAGGAGAUGGAAAUCGAUCAAGGUUUGAUGAUGGGAUGAUAGAGGAAGGUGACGGUAGUCUAACAAAGAAGGAGACGACGGUGAAAAUUUGGGGAGGAAUGUUUGAUGAUUGGAUUAUUGUUUGUUUUGAGGGAAGAAGAUGAAAAUGGGGCGGGUGGGGCAGAU